GACGAACGCUGGCGGCGUGCUUAACACAUGCAAGUCGAACGGGAAGUUCCUGCUUUUGUGCGGUGCUCGAGUUGAGACGUGGUGACUUACACUUGAGUUCCCUGCCCCUGCCUUUGGGAGAACUUCAUGAAACUGGGUGUAAUACCGGCUAGGAGCUCUCGCUGCUUGGUGGGGGUUGGAUAGUUUCGGCGGUUGGGGGUGGACUAGCGGCGUAUCAGCUUGUUUGUGGGGUAGUGGCUUACCAAGGUUUGGACGGGUAGCCGGCCUGAGAGGGUGACCGGCCACAUUGGGACUGGGAUACGGCCCAGACUCGUACGGGAGGCAGCAGAGGGGAAGGCUACACAAGGGGCGGAAGCCUGAUGCAGCAACGCCGCGUGCGGGAUGACGGCCUGCGGGUUGUAAACCACUGUCGCCUGUGACGAAGCGUGAGUGACGGUAAUGGGUAAAGAAGCACCGGCUAACUACGUG
rnacentral:rRNA from 1 species